CCUCAGUUUUUCUAUGAUAAUUUGUCCAAUACAUUUCUUCUUACUCAGUGGACAGAGUGGUUCUGGAAAGACUGAAGCUAUGAAGCAAAUAGUCCAUUACCUCAGCUCAAUCUAUCAGGACAGAAAUGACAACCUAAGACAGCCGAUGGAAGUCUUUCCCAUCUUGGAAAGCUUUGGGAAUGCCAAGACUAUUCUUAACAACAACUCCAGCCGAUUUGGCAAGUACCUUCACAUUCACAUACUCCAUGGAGUUGUUGUAGGAACCUCACUGUCUAACUAUCUCUUGGAGAAGUCCAGGGUUGUCUUUCAGGUAAGUUCACUGAGUGCUU